rnacentral:rRNA from 1 species
AACGAACGCUGGCGGCAUGCCUAACACAUGCAAGUCGAACGAGACCUUCGGGCCUAGUUGCGCACGGGUGCGUAACGCGUGGGAACCUGCCCUUAGGUUCGGAAUAACUCCCUGAAAGGGGUGCUAAUACCGGAUAAUGUCUUCGGACCAAAGAUUUAUCGCCUUUGGAUGGGCCCGCGUUGGAUUAUCUAGUUGGUAGGGUAAAAGCCUACCAAGGCGACGAUCCAUAGCUGGUCUGAGAGGAUGAUCAGCCACACUGGGACUGAGACACGGCCCAGACUCCUACGGGAGGGAGCAGUGGGGAAUAUUGGACAAUGGGCGCAAGCCUGAUCCAGCAAUGCCGCGUGAGUGAUGAAGGCCUUAGGGUUGUAAAGCUCUUUUACCCGGGAUGAUAAUGACAGUACCGGGAGAAUAAGCUCCGGCUAACUCCGUG